CUGCCCUGGGCUGGAGCCCUGCUUGCCGGCGCACCGGCUGGGAGCGGCUUCUGGGAGCCGGGCGGCCCCCGCGGUGCAGGCGCGCUGCUAAUGGCCUUGCGAGGCUCACUGGGUCUGAGAGGUCAGAGGCUGCGAGUGUCGCUGCUGAAGGCUGUGGUGGACCCGGCUGGAUUGCGGAUUCUGGGCUAGAUCGCAGAUUUGGGAUCACGGAUUGGGGAUUGGAUCGCGGAUUGGGGGUUGGAUCGGGGAUUUGGAGAUGGAUCGGGGAUUUGGGGCUGGAUUGGGGAUUUGGGGCUGGGUUGGGGGCAGUGAAAAGGUGACAGGGAGUUGCCGCGGCUCAGGAGCCGGUGGUCGGGUGUCUGAGAAGACUACAGGCGCC
rnacentral:lncRNA from 10 species